CAGAUUCAUGAACAAAAAUGCUUUUCCUGGGAUAUUCAAUUGUGGCAUUCAUGGUAUUUUCACACGGUGCGGCGAAUGAAACCCGGGCAUUAACAGCGAUUUCAGGAGAUCAGGUGGUGCUGUCCUGUGGUAUUGCUGAUGGCUCCGUAAAGAGGUGACACGGAGGAGAAUCAUGGUGCACAGAACACGGACGCUGGCACGGAGCAACUCCAAAUUGCACGGCAAAGUAGAGAAUGCAACGUGGGUUUUGGAUAUUUUGGGUUGUUAACAUGAGGAUGGGAAUUGCGUGUCGUCAAUCAUUGGCGUGGCACGAACCCCUUCCUCUCUGCUGAUACCUGCAGCGCGUGCGGAGGAUAAAGCAACGUACCGCUGCCUAUUCGGCAUUCAUGCAAACAAACUUGUGCAGAAGCUCGAAUAUCAACUGACCGUGAUCGAGAGAGAAAGAGGGGAAGAAACUGACGGAAUCGUUCUCCCAAAAGGAUGCAUCUCAGGGUUGGCCACCCCCAGUACCCAUGGCUGUCAGAACUCAAGUGCGGUUCAGGAAUCUCAGGCCAACAAAUUACCAGACAGGCCCUACGAGACGCUGUUUUUCAUCGCCGUCGUAACGGUGGCUGUGCUGCUGCCAGUGUCCAUGUUGUUAAUAUACAAACUGGUGAAGGUGAAAGAAGAAUGCCUGUCAUUGAAAUCAAAAUUGCAAGGACUUGGCACACUUGCUGCGCAAGGACACGCUUCGGAUGCAGUGGAGGAGCCCUAUUACUGUCCACUCCGGGGGAAAGGGGGCAACUCCGAGAUCUACACUCAUCUGCCUGGACAAACAUAAUGCACCUACACCUUCAUUCGACACGCAUGCUCUAGGUCAGGGAAAAGCUAAAGGCUGACCUAGAAUUCCCAGGUUAUUGCCAUGCAUUGUGAUAGCAAAAUAAAAACUACGAAACUAUCAACUAUUUUUAUUUUACCAGGUAAGGCCCACUGAGCUAUAUAGCCCUUUU